UACGUAGGGGGCUAGCGUUGUCCGGAUUUAUUGGGCGUAAAGGGCUCGUAGGCGGCCAACUAAGUCAGACGUGAAAUCCCUCGGCUUAACCGGGGAACUGCGUCUGAUACUGGAUGGCUUGAAUCCGGGAGAGGGAUGCGGAAUUCCAGGUGUAGCGGUGAAAUGCGUAGAUAUCUGGAGGAACACCGGUGGCGAAGGCGGCAUCCUGGACCGGUAUUGACGCUGAGGCGCGAAAGCCAGGGGAGCAAACGGG
rnacentral:rRNA from 1 species